GACGAACGCUGGCGGCGUGCCUAACACAUGCAAGUCGAGCGGGGAUUUAAGUGGAAGUUCUUCGGAAUGGAGAUUUAAAUUCUAGCGGCGGACGGGUGAGUAACGCGUGAACAAUCUGUCCCGGACAGGGGGAUAACACUUGGAAACAGGUGCUAAUACCGCAUAAGACCACGGCCUCGCAUGGGGCUGAGGUAAAAGGAGCAAUCCGGUUCGGGGUGAGUUCGCGUCCGAUUAGCUAGUUGGUGAGGUAACGGCCCACCAAGGCGACGAUCGGUAGCCGGCCUGAGAGGGUGAACGGCCACAUUGGAACUGAGAGGCGGUCCAAACGCCUACGGGAGGCAGCAGUGGGGAAUAUUGGGCAAUGGGCGAAAGCCUGACCCAGCAACGCCGCGUGAGGGAAGAAGGUUUUCGGAUUGUAAACCUCUGUCCUAUGGGACGAAGGAAGUGACGGUACCAUAGGAGGAAGCCCCGGCUAACUACGUG
rnacentral:rRNA from 1 species